GUGCCUAAGGUAUGCAAGUCGAACGAUUCCUGUAUCUUCGGAUACAGGGAGUGGCAAACGGCUGAGUAACGCGUAGGAACCUACCCCAAACUCGAGUAUAGCCCCGCGAAAGCGGGGGUAAUCCUCGAUAGCCCGUGAAGUAUUUUACUUCACGGUAAAGCUUUUGCGGUUUGGGAUGGGCCUGCGUCCUAUCAGGUAGUUGGUGAGGUAAAUGCUCACCAAGCCUAUGACGGGUAGCUGGUCUGAGAGGAUGGUCAGCCAGACUGGGACUGCGACACGGCCCAGACUCCUACGGGAGGCAGCAACUAGGAAUUGUGCGCAAUGGACGAAAGUCUGACGCCGCGACAUCGCGUGGAGGAUGAAGGUCUUCGGAUUGUAAACUCCUUUUCUUACCGAACAAGUUCUGAGUGUAGGUAAGGAAUAAGUGCCUGCUAACCACGUGCCAGAAGCAUCGGUAAUACGUGGGGCACGAGCGUUAUCCGGAUUUACUGGGCGUAAAGAGAAGCGUAGGCGGCUCGAUAAGUUUGGUGUUAAAUCUUCCGGCUCAACCGGAAACAAGCACCGAAAACUAUCGAGAUUGAGUCGAGUAGGGAAGAGGGGAAUUCCCGGUGGGAGCGGUUAAAUGCGUAGAUAUCAGGAGGAAUACCAAGGGCGAAGGCACCUCUUUGGACUCGUACUGACGCUGAGGCUCGAAAGCGUGGGUAGCAAAACGGAUUAGAUACCCGUGUAGUCCACGCCGUAAACGAUCCCUGUUAGAUGU
rnacentral:rRNA from 1 species